CUCAUUGAUCAUGGCAAUACUAGUAAUAGCAUUCACGUUACAGGAUGGAACUUCACAUUACUUAAAGGGGCUUGUUCCCUUGCUGUGCUACUUGGCAAUUGGUGCAUGCUUCUUUGUUUUCAAAUCCCCACUUGAGCAUCAGCCAACAAGUUCCAUAACCAGAACAGCUGUAGUGACUGUGGCCUAGCUAA